CCUACGGGAGGCAGCAGUGAGGAAUUUUGGUCAAUGGACGCGAGUCUGAACCAGCCAAGUAGCGUGAAGGAUGACUGCCCUAUGGGUUGUAAACUUCUUUUAUAUGGGAAUAAAAUGUUCCCCGUGUGGGAUUGUGUAUGUACCAUAUGACUAAGGAUCGGCUAAAUCCGUGACAGCAGCCGCGGUAAUACGGAGGAUGCGAGCGUUAUCCGGAUUUGUUGGGUUUAAAGGGAGCGUAGGUGGAUUGUUAAGUCAGUUGUGAAAGUUUUCGGAUCAACCGUAAAAUUGCAGUUGAAACUGGCAGUCUGGAGUACAGUAGAGGUGGGCGGAAUUCGUGGUGUAGCGGUGAAAUGCUUAGAUAUCACGAAGAACUCCGAUUGCGAAGGCAGCUGACUGGACUGCAGCUGACACUGAGGCUCGAAAGUGUGGGUAUCAAACAGGAUUAGAUACCCUUGUAGUC
rnacentral:rRNA from 1 species